UCUAAGAAUUUUUUUAAAAAAAAAAUAUAUAUUUUUUCUCGAUCACAUCAUUUCCUCCGCAUUAACGUGCACAGCCGCCCAGCUUCUUCUUAUGCACAUUCGAUCCCUUCGGUCAUGCGCCCAGCACCCUACACCAUGCUAGCACAUCUUACCAGCUCAAAGGCCCAUUGUGUGUGCUACCCUCUUUCUUUUGAGUCCUUAGCCACUUCUUCCCAUAUGCCCAAC
rnacentral:lncRNA from 1 species